rnacentral:rRNA from 1 species
AACGAACGCUGGCGGCAUGCCUAACACAUGCAAGUCGAACGAGACCUUCGGGUCUAGUGGCGCACGGGUGCGUAACGCGUGGGAACCUGCCCUUAGGUUCGGAAUACCUCCCCGAAAGGGGUGCUAAUACCGGAUAAUUUCUUCGGACCAAAGAUUUAUCGCCUUUGGAUGGGCCCGCGUUGGAUUAGCUAGUUGGUAGGGUAAAAGCCUACCAAGGCGACGAUCCAUAGCUGGUCUGAGAGGAUGAUCAGCCACACUGGGACUGCGACACGGCCCAGACUCCUACGGGAGGCAGCAGUGGGGAAUAUUGGACAAUGGGCGAAAGGCUGAUCCAGCAAGGCCGCGUGAGUGAUGAAGGCCUUAGGGUUGUAAAGCUCUUUUACCCGGGGUGAUAAUGACAGUACCGGGAGAAUAAGCACCGGCUAACUCCGUG